rnacentral:rRNA from 1 species
AUUGCCCUAGUAACGGCGAGUGAAGCGGCAACAGCUCAAAUUUGAAAUCUGGCUCUCGGGCCCGAGUUGUAAUUUGUAGAGGAUACUUUUGAUGCGGUGCCUUCCGAGUUCCCUGGAACGGGACGCCAUAGAGGGUGAGAGCCCCGUCUGGUUGGAUGCCAAAUCUCUGUAAAGUUCCUUCGACGAGUCGAGUAGUUUGGGAAUGCUGCUCUAAAUGGGAGGUAUAUGUCUUCUAAAGCUAAAUACCGGCCAGAGACCGAUAGCGCACAAGUAGAGUGAUCGAAAGAUGAAAAGCACUUUGAAAAGAGAGUUAAAAAGUACGUGAAAUUGUUGAAAGGGAAGCGUUUAUGACCAGACUUGGGCUUGGUUAAUCAUCUGGGGUUCUCCCCAGUGCACUUUUUCCAGUCCAGGCCAGCAUCAGUUUUCCCCGGGGGAUAAAGACUUCGGGAAUGUGGCUCUCUUCGGGGAGUGUUAUAGCCCGUUGUGUAAUACCCUGGGGGGGACUGAGGUUCGCGCAUCUGCAAGGAUGCUGGCGUAAUGGUCAUCAACGACCCGUCUUGAAACACGGACCAAGGAGUCGUCUUCGUAUGCGAGUGUUCGGGUGUCAAACCCCUACGCGUAAUGAAAGUGAACGCAGGUGAGAGCUUCGGCGCAUCAUCGACCGAUCCUGAUGUUCUCGGAUGGAUUUGAGUAAGAGCAUACGGGGCCGGACCCGAAAGAAGGUGAACUAUGCCUGUAUAGGGUGAAGCCAGAGGAAACUCUGGUGGAGGCUCGCAGCGGUUCUGACGUGCAAAUCGAUCGUCAAAUAUGGGCAUGGGGGCGAAAGACUAAU